rnacentral:sRNA from 1 species
AGCAAUAGAAUAGGAUUUCUUAAGGGUGGUCGGCACACUCCCGAUAGAAAGGGGGUGAUGCUGAAUGACAGUUUUUGAAACACUCUCGAUUAUGAUCGCAUUUGCUGGUUUAAUCGUAGCUAUACUGUCAUUUAACCAAAAAAAAUAAUCCACCCUUGAGUUAGCGGCUCUGGUGGAUUAUUUUCCCUGAUAGCCGACCCCUCCUGAGGGACCAACUAUUGCUUGAUCAGGCAUGUUCUCCGCAUGCUUG